AUGGUACUUGUUUAUGGGUCCUUUUGCCAAAGCCAAAUAGAAGUGUUCGCCUAUCGUAAUAAUAAGAUGUUUUUCCACAUCUGGCGAGGAGAGACAGAACCAGCAUUUCUCUGAAAAGAAAAAUCCAUGUCGUAGAAGUACUGCCGACUUUCAGACUAUAAUAAGGCUAUUUAUAUGACUUGCAAUAUAUAUGAAAUAUAGUUACUUACUGAUUCA